rnacentral:pre_miRNA from 1 species
UGUCGGGUAGCUUAUCAGACUAGUGUUGGCUGUUGUACCACAUGGCAACAACAGUCUGUAAGCUGGCUGACA